UGCUUAUGAUGACUAAAUGUGUAUAAGAGUAGUGGACAGGAGUGAUUUCUGAGAACCCAUUUUCUGAGGCA
ensembl:snoRNA